AGAGUUUGAUCAUGGCUCAGAACGAACGCUGGCGGCGUGGCUUAGGCAUGCAAGUCGAACGAGAAAGCAUCCUUCGGGGUGCGAGUAAGGUGGCGAAAGGGUGAGUAACACAUAGAUUACGUACCCUCGGCACGGGGAUAGCUCACCGAAAGGUGGGGUAAUACCCGAUAACGUCUACGGACCAAACGGUGGGGAUCGCAAGACCUGCCGGCAGAGGAGCGGUCUAUGUCCUAUCAGCUAGUUGGUGAGGUAACGGCUCACCAAGGCGAUGACGGGUACGGGGCCUGAGAGGGUGUUCCCGCACACUGGGACUGAGACACUGCCCAGACUCCUACGGGGGGCUGCAGUCGAGAAUCUUCGGCAAUGGACGAAAGUCUGACCGAGCGACGCCGCGUGGAUGAAGAAGGCCUUCGGGUUGUAAAAUCCUUUCGGCUACUAGGAAUAAGGUGUGGUUAAUACCCACACUGAUGACCCUGUAGCGGAAGAAGCUCCGGCUAAACACGUGCCAGCAGCCGCGGUAAUACGUGUGGAGCAAGCGUUGUUCGGAAUUAUUGGGCAUAAAGGGCACGUAGGCGGAGUGCUAUGUCUGGGGUGAAAUCCCUCGGCUUAACCGAGGAAUUGCCCUGGAAACUGGCAUUCUAGAGUGGAACAGGGGUGAGUGGAACUCUGGGUGUAGCGGUGAAAUGCGUAGAUAUCCAGGGGAACGCCGGUGGCGAAAGCGGCUCACUGGGUUCUAACUGACGCUGAGGUGCGAAAGCGUGGGGAGCAAACAGGAUUAGAUACCCUAGUAGUCC
rnacentral:rRNA from 1 species